rnacentral:rRNA from 1 species
UACGUAGGGGGCAAGCGUUGUCCGGAAUCAUUGGGCGUAAAGAGCGUGUAGGCGGCCCGGUAAGUCCGCUGUGAAAGUCCAGGGCUCAACCCUGGGAUGCCCGGUGGAUACUGUCGGGCUCGAGUCCGGAAGAGGAGUGUGGAAUUCCGUGGUGUAGCGGUGAAAUGCGCAGAUAAUCAGGAGGAACACCUAUGGCGAAGGC